AUACGAAGGGGGCAAGCGUUGUUCGGAAUAACUGGGCGUAAAGCGCACGUAGGCGGAAUGUUAAGUUAGAGGUGAAAUCCCAGGGCUCAACCCUGGAACGGCCUUUAAUACUGGCAAUCUAGAGACCGAGAGAGGUGAGUGGAAUUCCGAGUGUAGAGGUGAAAUUCGUAGAUAUUCGGAGGAACACCAGUGGCGAAUGCGGCUCACUGGCUCGGUACUGACGCUGAGGUGCGAAAGCGUGGGGAGCAAACAGGAUUAGAAACCCCAGUAGUCC
rnacentral:rRNA from 1 species